rnacentral:rRNA from 1 species
GCGGCAACAGCUCAAAUUUGAAAUCUGGCCCUCGGGUCCGAAUUGUAAUUUGUAGAGGAUGAUUUUGGUGCGGUAUCUUCCGAGUUCCUUGGAACAGGACGCCUUAGAGGGUGAGAGCCCCGUACGGUUGAAUGCCUAGCCUCUGUAAAUCUCCUUCGACGAGUCGAGUAGUUUGGGAAUGCUGCUCUAAAUGGGAGGUAAAUUUCUUCUAAAGCUAAAUAUUGGCCAGAGACCGAUAGCGCACAAGUAGAGUGAUCGAAAGAUGAAAAGCACUUUGAAAAGAGGGUUAAAUAGCACGUGAAAUUGUUGAAAGGGAAGGAUUUGUGACCAGACUUUUUCUGGGCGGAUCAUCCGGGGUUCUCUCCGGUGCACUUUGCCCAGUCAAGGCCAGCAUCGAUUUUCGGCGGCGGAUAAAAGCAGUGGGAAUGUGGCUCCCUACGGGGAGUGUUAUAGCCCAUUGUAUAAUACGCUGCUGGGGAUCGAGGUACGCGCUUCUGCAAGGAUGCUGGCGUAAUGGUUAUCAAUCACCCGUCUUGAAACACGGACCAAGGAGUCGAACAUUUAUGCGAGUGUUUGGGUGUUAAACCCUCACGCGUAAUGAAAGUGAACGGAGGUGAGAGCCCGUACGGGUGCAUCAUCGACCGAUCCUGAAGUUUUCGGAUGGAUUUGAGUAAGAGCAUAACUGUUCGGACCCGAAAGAUGGUGAACUAUGCGUGGAUAGGGUGAAGCCAGAGGAAACUCUGGUGGAGGCUCGCAGCGGUUCUGACGUGCAAAUCGAUCGUCAAAUCUGCGCAUGGGGGCGAAAGACUAAUCGAACCA